rnacentral:rRNA from 1 species
UACGUAGGGGGGCGAGCGUUGUCCGGAUUCAUUGGGCGUAAAGAGCUCGUAGGCGGUUUGGCAAGUCGGGUGUGAAAUCUCUGGGCUCAACUCAGAGAGGCCACUCGAUACUGCUAUGACUAGAGUCCGGUAGGGGACCAUGGAAUUCCUGGUGUAGCGGUGAAAUGCGUAGAUAUCGGGAGGAACACCGGUGGCGAAGGCGGCCUUCUGGACGGAUGACGUGACGCUGAGACGCGAAAGCGUGGGGAGCAAACAGG